GUCUACGGUAAUGCCACCCUGAACAAGCCCGAUCCUGUUUGAUCUUGGAAGCUAAGCAGGGUCGGGCCUGGUUAGUACUUGGAUGGGAGACCGCCUAGGAAGACCAGGUGCUGUAGGCA
rfam:Pteropus alecto contig91987, whole genome shotgun sequence.